GAGUAACUACCCCACCAUUGGAAUGAAGGUUCCAUUCCAAAUCUCUAUUCAUCGGGGUCCCAGGUCCCAAUCAAGGCGAAUUCGCGAAAACUAUGUUUCAGUAUGUUGCAAAUUCGAGGCGGAAACGAGCACAAAUAUUGCAAAAUAACAAAAAAACACAAACAAUUGCCCAUUAUCUCAUCUUAUAAUGAAGCUUAGUGCUUGAAGAAAGAAAACAUAUUCAAGAUUUGAAUAGAAAUUAAUGGUUAUUGGCGAACCAAUUGUACAAAAAGUAAGAAAUGAUUAAGAGUCUUCUGAUCCUUAUCUUUGAAAGCACCCUCUAAAAAAGUUCAAAGAAUUGUAUUAGAAAACAUCCGAUUUAGUUUCAAUAGACCCAGUAAUAUAAAGGUAAUAAACUAUCUGCCUCCCAGGCAAAUAUUUCACCAGUAUAGAGUAACAGAAUCGGAACAUGUUAAAAAUGCUGAUACAAUCCCAACAGUAAAACAUUUUCUCAUUCUUUCAGAGUAAAAACAACUAUCACAAGACAUCUUCUUGAUUAUCUCGCUUCCCUUCUUUUAUUUCCCCUCCAUCUUAUUUCUCUCCUGUAUUUCUCAAUUGGCGAUAGUCAAGGUCUAGGCCCAGAAAAUGUAUUAAAAGUAUUGGUCAGCAACAAGCUUGUAAUCUAAGUCUGAUCUCUCAGAGGCUUGUAAGAGCUUACCAUGAACACCUUCAAGCUUCUUAACAAAGCCAUCCUUUGAUGAAGCAAAGACCAUACGAUCCUUUACCUUGGCGUUUUCUGGGGUAAACAUUAAGAAAAUUAGUUUUGGGGUUUGGCCAUUUGGAUCUGGGAGAUCAAUGGUAGCAUAGAAACACUCAGUUUCUGGGAUUGAUUUAAGGAAAUCUUCAUAUGUCUCCUCUGGCCCUGAAGUCUUGAAUAAUAUUAUAUUCUCGUAGGUACUAUCCAUCUUAUAAAGAAGAUAUCUGUGUUGCUUGCGGAUCUUCUGUUUCUGAAAAGCAUCGAUACAAUCUUGGUGAAUCUUUACUCCUGAUGACAUUUUUUAUGAUUAAUCUCACUACUAUAAUAAAUUAAAAUUCUUGUAAAAAAAAAAAAAUAAAAUAAUAGACUUGUAUUUUA
rnacentral:antisense_RNA from 1 species